UACGUAGGGUGCGAGCGUUGUCCGGAAUUACUGGGCGUAAAGAGCUCGUAGGUGGUUUGUCGCGUUGUUCGUGAAAUCUCACGGCUUAACUGUGAGCGUGCGGGCGAUACGGGCAGACUGGAGUACUGCAGGGGAGACUGGAAUUCCUGGUGUAGCGGUGGAAUGCGCAGAUAUCAGGAGGAACACCGGCGGCGAAGGCGGGUCUCUGGGCAGUAACUGACGCUGAGGAGCGAAAGCGUGGGGAGCGAACAGG
rnacentral:rRNA from 1 species